rnacentral:rRNA from 1 species
GAUGAACGCUGGCGGCGUGCCUAAUACAUGCAAGUCGAGCGAACAGAUGAGGAGCUUGCUCCUCUGACGUUAGCGGCGGACGGGUGAGUAACACGUGGAUAACCUACCUAUAAGACUGGGAUAACUUCGGGAAACCGGAGCUAAUACCGGAUAAUAUAUUGAACCGCAUGGUUCAAUAGUGAAAGACGGUUUUGCUGUCACUUAUAGAUGGAUCCGCGCCGCAUUAGCUAGUUGGUAAGGUAACGGCUUACCAAGGCAACGAUGCGUAGCCGACCUGAGAGGGUGAUCGGCCCCACUGGUACUGAGACACGGUCCAGACUCCUACGGGCGCCAGCCGUAGGGAUUCUUCCGCAAUGGGCGAAAGCCUUACGGCGCAACGCCGCGUGAGUGAUGAAGGUCUUCGGAUCGUAAAACUCUGUUAUUAGGGAAGAACAAAUGUGUAAGUAACUAUGCACGUCUUGACGGUACCUAAUCAGAAAGCCACGGCCAACUACGUG